GAUUAGCUCAGCUGGUCAGAGCAUGGUGCUAAUAACGCCAAGGUCAUGGGUUUGAUCCCUGUACAGGUCA
rfam:Taeniopygia guttata chromosome 1, whole genome shotgun sequence.